rnacentral:snRNA from 1 species
GGCUGCUUUGUUGAGCCG